AGAGAAUCUGUGAGGGAAUAUCCUCAAUCCAGACUAAAUCCGCAAAAGAAAAAGCAAUCCUAACUAGACGAUUUGCAACAAUGUUUUCUGUCCUUCUAGUAUGAACAAGGCAUGAAUUGUUUCUAUGUCCCAAGAGAUACUCACAAUCUUGCAGAAUACCAUCAAAGUAUGUACAUUUAUCCACACUUCCAUUCUUCCAAGCUAGAGAAUUCUUGGCAAUCAGUCUCAAAUAGAAGAAGGUAAUGGAGAGAGAGUUGUUGAAUUAGCUGAAUAGUCCAUCUGAAAGUCAUUGUUUCUGCAAUUUUCGGAGUAAAACAUUGGUGAUUCACACAAGUAGCUGCUGCUAGCACCUGUCCAUAGCAAUCCCGAAAAAUGACCCCAUCCCUGUGCCCUUGCCAGCUUGCCGCCACAAGAGUGCACUUAUAAAGCAAAUUUUGACAAUUCAAACUUUGUUGUCCUUGUUGAAAAAAAAUAAAAUCUGCAUCAUUGAGCUAAAAGCUCAUGUAAAAUGGCCAAUGGAACUAAGCCUUGAUUAUUCUUGGAAAUUCAUCAGCUAAUAACAAAUAAAUUAAAACAUUUUGAAAAAGAAUAUGCUUCUUGCUAUUUAUUUUAUUUAUUUAUCUUUUAUUAUGGAUAGUUUGUACUUGAGAU
rnacentral:lncRNA from 1 species